GAUCGCCAGGCCAUGCAGACGCCUAUCCCAGCCUCCGCAUGAGACAGGGAGCAAUGAAACUGGAGCCUGCAGAGUUAAAGCCGCCUGACCUGAAUAGAUAUGAAUGUCAAGAUUGCCUUGUGUUCCGAGGGAGUCAAAGGUAUAAUGAAAGGCAGAACUUGCCUGCAGCUGUAUCAGAAAGAAGUUCUACCACCACCUCUUUAAAAAGCAAUGAGAAAUAUAGAAGCAAAGCGAGACAGAACCAAGAAGAUAAGCAACCAACAGUUUCAAACUUUCUUGCUUUUCUUUGCCAGGAAAAGCAAGAUGCUUCCAGAGGGUGCGUGGGCAAAUGGUGGCAGAAGCUUUCUUGAUGGAAAUAUAGGGCAAGCAGAUGGAGAGAAGAGGCUCUGUAGCCAAGAAUGCCGGGGGUAGCUCUCAUAAACGAUUACAGGUGGCUUCUGUACAUAUUGACAGAUUCAGAGGCUAUUUGGGAAAUAUUUUAGCCAUCAUUUGAUGGCUGUUCCCAUAAGUCCCUCCUUAUGAUUUUUCGGGAGUAAGAUUCAUGCUGAACCCUCCCAAUCUGCGAAUCAGAGCUCUGUUCCCAGGCAAAACUCUCUCUGGCUGCAUUUCUUAAAAACACUUUUCAAUACUUUCUUAGCCUUUUGUUAAAGCUUAGGUGGAUGUUUCAGUGUAAGCUAGUUGUUGCAGAAUGAUAUUUUAUUCUAAUGAUUUUAUUCAAGAAAAUUAAAAAAUAAAACACCCAAGGUAAAGAUUAGGUAAAGGUUUUUCCCUGACAUUAAGUCUAGUCGUGUCCGACUCUGGGGGUUGGGGCUCAUCUCC
rnacentral:lncRNA from 11 species